UCUUACCUCUUACUCCAUUAAUCUCACCCUCCCUUUCUCCCUCUCUCUACUUGGCCAUGGCCGGCCUCUUCUUCCCCACUCUCUCCCUCUCUCUGCUUUUCUACAAUAAACACCUUAAAACCAUGGACCGUCUCUGCUCAUCAGGAUCUGCCAGGCUGGAGCAACUGAGCAGGUCUCCCUCUAAAGAGCCACGCAUCUAACCUCUGGCCCACAAGUCUCCUUGUGCUCCAGCCACUGCUUCUGCCAACCCAAGCCACUCACCAAACCAAGCAGUCUGCUAACCCAAACUGCUGACUGAGCAAGCCAAGGACCCUUGUCCCCGAGAUAUUUCAUUUUCCUGUAAUGCCCUGUACUGCUUUGAGAAACCAGCAAGAAUGUCAUGACCAGAUGUCAGCUGUCAACCCUACAAAUAAAAGCCCAAAUGAAUUACCUUUAAAUAUAGCCU